CGCGAAUUCGCCCUUCGGGGCGCACCAGGCGCGAAAACUUUACAAUGCGGGAAACCGUGAUAAGGGGACACCGAGUGCCAGCAUCAUAUGCUGGCUGUCCGGGUGUGUAAAAUACACCCGUUAGCAAGGGCCGGGCAAGACCGGUGCCAGCCGCCGCGGUAACACCGGCGGCCCGAGUGGUGAUCGUGAUUAUUGGGUCUAAAGGGUCCGUAGCCGGUUUGGUCAGUCCUCCGGGAAAUCUGAUAGCUCAACUAUUAGGCUUUCGGGGGAUACUGCCAGGCUUGGAACCGGGAGAGGUAAGAGGUACUACAGGGGUAGGAGUGAAAUCUUGUAAUCCCUGUGGGACCACCUGUGGCGAAGGCGUCUUACCAGAACGGGUUCGACGGUGAGGGACGAAAGCUGGGGGCACGAACCGGAUUAGAUACCCGGGUAGUCCCAGCCGUAAACGAUGCUCGCUAGGUGUCAGGCAUGGCGCGACCGUGUCUGGUGCCGCAGGGAAGCCGUGAAGCGAGCCACCUGGGAAGUACGGCCGCAAGGCUGAAACUUAAAGGAAUUGGCGGGGGAGCAC
rnacentral:rRNA from 1 species